rnacentral:tRNA from 1 species
GAUGUAGCCCAGUGGUAGAGCAUUUGCCUAGCAUGCACAAAGCCCUGGGUUCAAUCCCCCAAAUCA